GCCAGACUCCUACGGGAGGCAGCAGUGGGGAAUAUUGCACAAUGGGGGAAACCCUGAUGCAGCGACGCCGCGUGAGCGAUGAAGUAUUUCGGUAUGUAAAGCUCUCUCAGCAGGGAAGAAAAUGACGGUACCUGACUAAGAAGCCCCGGCUAACUGCGUGCCAGCAGCCGCGGUAAUACGUAGGGGGCAAGCGUUAUCCGGAUUUACUGGGUGUAAAGGGAGCGUAGACGGCGAUGCAAGCCAGAUGUGAAAGCCCGCGGCUCAACUGCGGUAGUGCAUUUGGAACUGUAUGGCUGGAGUGCAGGAGAGGCAGGCGGAAUUCCUAGUGUAGCGGUGAAAUGCGUAGAUAUUAGGAGGAACACCAGUGGCGAAGGCGGCCUGCUGGACUGUAACUGACGUUGAGGCUCGAAAGCGUGGGGAGCAAACAGGAUUAGAUACCCUAGUAA
rnacentral:rRNA from 1 species